UGAAAGUUAGUGUCUGCUAACCUUUGGAAAU
rnacentral:piRNA from 1 species